UUUACAAAAUCGGAAAUUAGUGACAAUGAAGUUCAACACAGUUCCAUAUGAAAUAAUACAUUUUGCUACAAAGUAUGGAGAGAUCGUGUAUCACUUUGAACCUACAUGUAUAGGAAGAAUCUAAUAUUUCCAUCGGAGAAUGAGAAGAAAAGUAUGACAAUAGGAAAUGUAUGGAUCAAUGCAAAAAUUGAAUGUACAGAACAUCAUAAAUUCACUCACAACAGAAAGGUGUGUAUCGAACCCCAAGGGACAUGAUUGUAAGGACAUCCAAGGCCUGAAACCCUUCAGCAGCAUGAGUCUUUGUUCUCAGUGGAAUGUUUAAUUUGAAAAUGUCCUGCGCCAAUUUAGCAUUCGCUGGGAGCUCCUCUGCACCGUCAGUCAAAUCUCUACAAUGGGACUAGACUCCACAUUUUUUCAAUCAGAGCCAUUCCAGCUAACAUUAGCAUCUUAAUCUGAGAUGGAAAAACAGAAACUUACAAAAAUGGAAGAUGGUUCUCCAAACUUUAAUUGUUAUUUUCCAAAUGAUACUUCCAAACGUUUCUAAUGAACCAGCACUCAUUUGUUAAAAUGAAUUUUAUUGCAUGUAUCUAACUGACGGCUAAAGGGUUAUAUGCCCUGCAUUAUUCUCCUGUAGCUGCUGUAAAAUCUUCACUCGGUAAAUUUAACUGCUCAGAUUGGGGAAAUUGUGCAUUUUGAUGGAAAUUGUGAUCCUGGCCCAUCAUAUGCUUUAGUAAAUUUACAAAGGAAUACGGGAGGUUCUCUCCAAAUUGUAAACAAUGAGUACUAUGCAGCGCCAGAUGGAGAAGAACUUGUCUUGAAUAUCAGAGAUCCAUUGCUCCAUUGGAAAGCAGAUGAAUCCCUUACGAGUGGCAUUGAGACAUCAUGGUAAAAAGAAUUGGCAUAUAGACACGACAAAAUUGAGAAGUGCAUGU